rnacentral:rRNA from 1 species
GUGCCAGCAGCCGCGGUAAUACGUAGGUGGCAAGCGUUGUCCGGAUUUAUUGGGCGUAAAGCGAGCGCAGGCGGUUUUUUAAGUCUGAUGUGAAAGCCUUCGGCUCAACCGAAGAAGUGCAUCGGAAACUGGGAAACUUGAGUGCAGAAGAGGACAGUGGAACUCCAUGUGUAGCGGUGAAAUGCGUAGAUAUAUGGAAGAACACCAGUGGCGAAGGCGGCUGUCUGGUCUGUAACUGACGCUGAGGCUCGAAAGUAUGGGUAGCAAACAGGAUUAGAUACCCUGGUAGUCCAUACCGUAAACGAUGAAUGCUAAGUGUUGGAGGGUUUCCGCCCUUCAGUGCUGCAGCUAACGCAUUAAGCAUUCCGCCUGGGGAGUACGGCCGCAAGGCUGAAACUCAAAGGAAUUGACGGGGGCCCGCACAAGCGGUGGAGCAUGUGGUUUAAUUCGAGGCUACGCGAAGAACCUUACCAGGUCUUGACAUACUAUGCAAAUCUAAGAGAUUAGACGUUCCCUUCGGGGACAUGGAUACAGGUGGUGCAUGGUUGUCGUCAGCUCGUGUCGUGAGAUGUUGGGUUAAGUCCCGCAACGAGCGCAACCCUUAUUAUCAGUUGCCAGCAUUAAGUUGGGCACUCUGGUGAGACUGCCGGUGACAAACCGGGGGAAGGUGGGGAUGACGUCAAAUCAUCAUGCCCCUUAUGACCUGGGCUACACACGUGCUACAAUGGAUGGUACAACGAGUUGCGAACUCGCGAGAGUAAGCUAAUCUCUUAAAGCCAUUCUCAGUUCGGAUUGUAGGCUGCAACUCGCCUACAUGAAGUCGGAAUCGCUAGUAAUCGCGGAUCAGCAUGCCGCGGUGAAUACGUUCCCGGGCCUUGUACACACCGCCCGU